rnacentral:rRNA from 1 species
CAGCCGCACGGGAAUACAGAGGGUGCGAGCGUUAAUCGGAUUUACUGGGCGUAAAGCGUGCGUAGGCGGCUUUUUAAGUCGGAUGUGAAAUCCCUGAGCUUAACUUAGGAAUUGCAUUCGAUACUGGGAAGCUAGAGUAUGGGAGAGGAUGGUAGAAUUCCAGGUGUAGCGGUGAAAUGCGUAGAGAUCUGGAGGAAUACCGAUGGCGAAGGCAGCCAUCUGGCCUAAUACUGACGCUGAGGUACGAAAGCAUGGGGAGCAAACAGGAUUAGAUACCCCUGUAGUCCCUGUCUCUUAUACA